rnacentral:rRNA from 1 species
AGUGAACGCUGGCGGCGUGCUUAACACAUGCAAGUCGAACGGACUUAAGGGGCUUGCUUCUUAAGUUAGUGGCGCACGGGUGAGUAAUAUAUAGCUAACCUGCCCUUUAGUGGGGGACAACAGUUGGAAACGACUGCUAAUACCCCAUACUCCUUCUGAUCUUAAGAUCAGUUGGGAAAGAUUUAUCGCUAAAGGAUGGGGCUUUAUUGUAUCAGCUAGUUGGUGGGGUAAUGGCCUACCAAGGCUAUGACGCAUACCUGGUCUGAGAGGAUGAUCAGGCACACUGGAACUGAGACACGGUCCAGACUCCUACGGGAGGCAGCAGUGGGGAAUAUUGCACAAUGGAGGAAACUCUGAUGCAGCAACGCCGCGUGGAGGAUGACGCAUUUCGGUGUGUAAACUCCUUUUAUAGGGGAAGAUAAUGACGGUACCCUAUGAAUAAGCACCGGCUAACUCCGUGCCAGCAGCCGCGGUAAUACGGAGGGUGCAAGCGUUACUCGGAAUCACUGGGCGUAAAGGAUGCGUAGGCUGGAAAUCAAGUCGAAAGUGAAAUCCAACGGCUCAACCGUUGAACUGCUUUCGAAACUGGUUACCUAGAAUAUGGGAGAGGUAGAUGGAAUUAGUGGUGUAGGGGUAAAAUCCGUAGAUAUCACUAGGAAUACCGAUUGCGAAGGCGAUCUACUGGAACAUUAUUGACGCUGAGGCAUGAAAGCGUGGGGAGCAAACAGGAUUAGAUACCCUGGUAGUCCACGCCCUAAACGAUGCACACUAGUUGUUGCGAUGCUAGUCAUUGCAGUAAUGCACUUAACAGAUUAAGUGUGCCGCCUGGGGAGUACGGUCGCAAGAUUAAAACUCAAAGAAAUUGACGGGGGCCCGCACAAGCAGAGGAGCAUGUGGCUUAAUUCGAUGCAACGCGAAGAACCUUACCCGGGUUUGACAUGCAGCUGCACGGCCUAUGAAAGCAGGCCUCCUUCGAGGGUGCUGCACAGGUGCUGCAUGGCUGUCGUCAGUUCGUGCCGUGAGGUGUUUGGUUAAGUCCAGCAACGAACGCAACCCCUGUGUCCAGUUGCCAGCGCGUAACGGCGGGAACUCUGGACAGACUGCCCGUUCACACGGGAGGAAGGUGGGGACGACGUCAAGUCAGUAUGGCCCUUACAUCCGGGGCUGCACACGUGCUACAAUGGCCGGCACAAAGGGAAGCCAAGCCGCGAGGCCGAGCCAAUCYCCAAAACCGGCCCCAGUUCAGAUCGGGGUCUGCAACCCGACCCCGUGAAGUCGGAUUUGCUAGUAACGGCGCAUCAGCUACGGCGCCGUGAAUACGUUCCCGGGCCUUGUACACACCGCCCGUCACAUCAUGAAAGCCGUCUGCACCCGAAGCCGGCGCACCUACCCGCAAGGGGGGGAGCCGCCUAAGGUGUGGGUGGUGAUUGGGAUG